rnacentral:lncRNA from 1 species
AAAAUCAAAGUAAAAUUCUUAGUAAGAAAGUAUACAAACAUCCGUUGAUUUAGCAAUUGCUCACUUUUCUUCCAACUUUCUCUUUUGUCCCUUAACCGUCUGCAUCCAAUAUAUUAAAAGGGGCAGUGAGGUUGAAACUUAGUUUAAGCCCUUCUCAACCAUCAAAAUGAAUUUGGUUAUAAAUGUAUCACACUGAAACAGACAAUUAAACAGAUGGUAAGCAGAAACCUAAAGCAUUCAAAAUGUACAAAAUAUGUUCAAAUGGAAUAUAGAUGAACAGGAUGCAACUUAAAAUUAUAUAGCAUAAUGGAGUUGGGCAAUCACCAUAUAUUUUGAAUUAAUGGAGCUGGAUAUUGAAUUCAAAAGCCCCUGACACUUCUCAAAAGUGAUUGUUCAAUUCAUUAACCUUUACAAACAAUUCAUCAAAUGCCCAAAAAAAAAGAAAAAAAAAAAUCUCAUUAUACUCUCUAAUGAUCCAAUCUCAUUUGCAGAAUUUUGUUUACAUAAAUUGUGUAAAAAAGAGUGAAGAGCAACCACUGGAUGACACAAAAAUUUGAAGCCCUACACUUUGAAUUGGUAUAUGAAAGAGGGGAAAAGGGAAAUUAAAAAACUGCUUGACAGCAUUCCCGAAAAGUCUAGUUACAAAAUUUAUUUUGCCAACUAAAUUUAGCUUCUUGACCAACUCUAACCAUUAACCAUUAUCAACCCAAAGAAAAAUACAAAAAUCAAACCUGAGGUUUUCUUGUGACAUUCUUUUUCAUUCAUUUCUCAUAAACUAAGCCUAUAUUGAAUCUCUACAAGCUUAACAACAGUAAACAAUAGCACAUAUUCAAUCAAAUAACAUGAGUCUAGCUGAAAACAAAUUCAAUUUGAGUCCCAAUAAACAAUUUUUAGUAAGAUAUAUCAUUGCAACUAAGGUAGUGAAGAAAAAUAAGUACCCUUCCCAAUGGAACACCAUAGGUAGAUAGUUCCAAAUUAAGACUAUAAAACCAUUUAUAUGUUAGAUAACUAAAGCUAGAUUAAUUUCUUGUUGAAUACGAUUGUCCAUACUCUUUGCCUAUGACCAUGAUGCAUAGAAAAAGUUGACAAAAUUAACAUGAUAAUCUAUCUAUCUAAAAGAUAAAUAUCAAUAAGAUUCAAGAUUCUACCCGUACCUUUAAAACGUGUCCAACUGUAUCCUUGCAAAUGUAUAAUUGAAAAUUUUCAUAGCAUUUAUAAAGUUAAUGAGUUAUAAUGAAUAUCAUCCAUAAUUACUAAUCCGAUCUUCAAUAAGACAUAGCAAUUCCUUGAUUCAUCUAUAGUCAUUGGAUCCCUGAGAAAAACAUCAAUGAAACCAUUUCAUAAUCUAUUUUCAUUUCAUAGUACCCAUAAAUCAUUCUAAUAAAGAAUAGCAGUUCAAAAUUAACAAACUCAAGUCACAAUCAAAUAAUAAAACAAAUUUGUAUAAAAUCAAAUAUAAAACAAAGAUAGAGAAGAUGAGAAAAUUCGUUCAUAAUCAAUUAUAAAGCAUGCAAAUUUCCUGAAAAAUUAAAGGAAUUAAUUAAAGAGAGAAAAUAUAGUAGUUAUUCUUAUCAAAAUCCAAAUAACAUAUAAGACUAUUUCUAUGAAAACCCAAAUAACCAAACAGAGAAGAAAACCUAGUUAGUAAUGAAGUGCAACAGAAAAGAAGAGAUUUUACAAAGAGAGAAGAGAAGAAGAAUUAGGAACACAGUGCAUAGAUGAAAUCGGAGAAGAAGCACAUAAGGAAGAUGAAGUCGGCGAAGUAGAGGUACUAUGUGGAAAAGAUACGUGAUGAAGAAGAUAAGAGUGAAUUCGCCAUGGAAAAAAAAAAUCUAGCAUUAAAUGAAGAAGUUUCGAGAGAGAAUAAGGGCAAGACAGGAAUAACAUUAAAAUGAAAUGGCUUAAAGGGCAUUACACUGUUCUAUGAACAGUAAUUUUGGAUUUCGUUUUAGUAUAUAUAUAGUUUGAAUAAAAUUUUGGGAUUUUGAUAAAUUAGGCAUUGGAUUGUGAAAUUGAUUUGGGAAUCGAGUUCUACAUGAAAAACUACCGCUAACAUUUGAAUCUUGAGGAAUUCGGUAACCACCGCUCCUCUGGCCACGUAGACGGUGGCUCUGGUAACCGGAAAUGAUUACAGUAGGUAGAAUGCUCCGUCUAAUGUGUUGGUCAUGAAUAAGUAAUUAGUUUUGCAAAUAGAUGCCAUUCGAUACUUGAAAUAUUAAUCGAUGCAAUUAGACAAACAGACCUCAAAGCCAAAAAUCACAGAAAUCGAUAAAACAAGAGUUAAGAUAUUCCUAGGAAAAAUGUUGUUAGCUAAUUAACUGAAGUAAUCAUCUUUAAUAAUAGCUAGAAGUGAUCAAUGAUUUGAAAUAAGGAUAAGAGUAAGGUUCUAGCUCUUUGAUGGAAAUACAAAUUGCUAGGUUCUAGUUUGUUAUGUGAUACUCAACCUUAGUUCAAUAAAAAAAAAAAAUGUGAAGAUGAUGUUUUAGAUUGACGGAAACUCAACGGAAUUGAAUAAAUAGAACUGAGUUAGUUGUCAAAUUAGAUAUCAAUAAUAAUGAAUUAUGGAUUUAUUAAACUGUCAAGCAUUGGAAAUGCCUAUGAACUUGAUUGGACAUAACUGGGUGCGCGCUAGACAAGUUCAGAUUAUUAUUACCAUUGUUGACAAGAACUUGCUAUUUGUUUUUCAUAUAGUAUAUACCAGAUGUAAAAUACAUACAUGGUGAUGUUGAGACUAGUGAAUGAAUACUUGAGUUAUGUUGAUGAAUGGAGGAUGGAAAUUAUUGAUUUGGAUUCCCCGAAGGAUGGGCUUUGUGUGAUUGAUGAUGAUGGUAGUUGAACUACCUUAUUUUUGUUGCUUUUCACAGGGACUUUGUAUCUGAUUUUUAGGGAAAAUUCUGCCGAAAUUUCGGUAGAAUAAAUUGAGUAGACUUUUCUUUAAAUUCUCUAGUUGAUAACCUUAUUCACUUCUUUAGAAUCUGAUGUUUUCUCCUUAUUAUUGUAUCACCUAUAGACCGUCUAGGACAAGCAGAUAUGGCUCCGGGAUUCCAGUAUAUGUAAAUUACCAUAUAUUUAUUUAUUUUUUUUUAAAGAACAUAAAUUAGGUUUACAGUGAUCACCACAACUAUGUUGUUUUGGUGUAGGGUUUAUAGUUUCAUCCUAAAACCAUACUUUCUUCCCCGCUCGCAUAAUUCUAGCAUUGUGAUCUCUCUUUAGAUCAAUCUCUGAUUGCCUCUUUGCUUAUAGUAGACGAACUCCAAAAGGAAGUUAAAGCUUUAAAAUUUAGCAGAGAGGCAAGAGAUGUUGUACAUAGUUGGUCUGGGAUUGGGAGAUGAGAAGGACAUCACCAUUAGAGGCUUAGAAGCAGUAAAAAAAUGCGAGAAAGUUUACAUGGAAGCGUACACUUCUCUCCUCUCCUUUGGCUUAUCCGGAGAUGGACUUUCUACUCUGGUACUUCUUUAAACCUCUCCUUUUUUCUAAUUCUCAUUUAUUUUUUCAUAUCUUUUCAUUUAGAUAUGUAAAUGUUAAUUUUCUUUGCAGGAAAAUUUGUACGGGAAACGAAUCACCAUUGCUGAUAGAGAGAUGGUAGAAGAAAAGGCUGAUGAUAUAUUAUCAGAGGCUCGUGUGUCUGAUGUGGCUUUCCUUGUUGUUGGAGAUCCUUUUGGGUAUUGUAUCUAUUGAAUUUUACUUGAGUUUGGAUUUUGUUGUUGUAUUGUGAAGUUUGCUAUUUUAUGCUUUCGUUUUACUGGAUUAGUUGUUCUCUAAUUGCUAUACAUUACUUAUUUGGAUAAUUUGAUUUGGAAUUCAGUGCUACAACACAUUCAGAUCUUGUUGUUCGAGCAAACACAUUGAGGGUUAAUGUCAAAGUAGUACAUAAUGCAUCUGUGAUGAAUGCAAUUGGAAUUUGUGGAUUACAAUUAUAUCGCUAUGGGGAGACCGUCUCAAUACCCUUUUUUAGUGAUACAUGGAGACCUGAUAGCUUUUAUGAGAAGAUACGAAUAAAUCGUGAACUUGGAUUGCAUACGCUUUGCUUGUUAGGUAAGCUUUUAAUUUUCACAAAUCUAAAUUUAGUUUUAUGGUUGUGAAAUUUGCUACUUAAAAUUUUCUUCUUGCAACUGCAACACCAUAUGGUGAAAUUUUGUACUAAUGCAUUCACUCUUCUUUUUGUUUCAAGAAUAACAACAAGACUUUGAAUCUGUACAAAAUGCAUUACCAGACUCGUUUGUG